rnacentral:rRNA from 1 species
GAUGAACGCUGGCGGCGUGCUUAACACAUGCAAGUCGAACGGAAAGGCCCAAGCUUGCUUGGGUACUCGAGUGGCGAACGGGUGAGUAACACGUGGGUGAUCUGCCCUGCACUUCGGGAUAAGCCUGGGAAACUGGGUCUAAUACCGGAUAGGACGAUGGUUUGGAUGCCAUUGUGGAAAGUUUUUUCGGUGUGGGAUGAGCUCGCGGCCUAUCAGCUUGUUGGUGGGGUAAUGGCCUACCAAGGCGUCGACGGGUAGCCGGCCUGAGAGGGUGUACGGCCACAUUGGGACUGUGAGACGGCCCAGACUCCGACGGGAGGCAGCAGUGGGGAAUAUUGCACAAUGGGCGCAAGCCUGAUGCAGCGACGCCGCGUGGGGGAUGACGGCCUUCGGGUUGUAAGCUCCUUUCGCUAGGGACGAAGCGUUUUUGUGACGGUACCUGGAGAAGAAGCACCGGCUAACUACGUG